rnacentral:rRNA from 1 species
AAACGAUUGAAGUCAGUCGUGUUCAUUGGACUCAGCCGGCUCUGCCGGUCUACUUCCUUUGAACGGGUCAACAUCGGUUCUGGAUGACGGAUAAAGGCUGGAGGAAAGUAGCACCCCUCGGGGUGUGUUAUAGCCUCCUGUCGCAUACGUUGACCGGGACCGAGGAACGCAGCUCGCCUUUAUGGCCGGGGUUCGCCCACGUCCGAGCUUAGGAUGUUGACAUAAUGGCUUUAAACGA